UCCUUGUUCGAAUCAGCACACGAAAGGGAAUCUCGUCCUGCCAUAUCCUGAACGGUGAACCCCGUGGAAGAAGCCCCAGCCACGGAACAGCUUUGCCUCUCCGCCCCCUCCUUUCUCCCCUAGGCCGACAGCGGCGCUCGUGUUCCUCUGCUCACCGUCGGUACAUUCGACGGGAUUUGCCCUUUCUCUUUCCCCUCACCCCAAACUCGGCGGCGGCACAUCUCCUCUCCGGCGCCAUGUCUGCCGGUGGACGGGUGGGUUGAUUCGAUGCAUCCCCUGGUUGUGGUGCCUCCAGUGGAGUCGCGGGCUUCAGUGAGUGUCGCGGAUGGCCACAUUUGUCGCGCUGCCGAUCCAGCAGUGCCCAACUCCGGUGAUUUCCAGUUGGACGGAAACAGGGGAUUUGAGGUGUGCUCUAAAGCUACGAGAAGAUGGACGAGAAGGCUAACAUACCCAUCAAAAGACAUGCAUGCAAGCUGUGUUUGAACAAUAUGGUGAGGCCUUGUACAAUUGUGGGGCGUAUGUGCUAGAUGAGAUAGAACCUUGAAGGAUGUACAUGGCGACACAUGUUGAUGCAUCAGCUAGAGAGAAGUAGAUCAAGGUUGAAUUCAAGAUAGAGGUGAAUGAUGUUGAAAGUUUCUUCAGUUGUGAGUGUGGAAACUUUGAACAAUCCGGCAUGAUCUAUUGUCAUGCACUCCAAGUGAUGAUACAUCUUCGUCUGUCGAAACCUGAGAAGAACUUCCUGAAGCAUGAGGCCCGUGAUAGGUAGCGUCCUCGAGCACUGUCAGAAUGCUUGUGCUUUGGACUGAUCUGCUUGGAGUUGGCGGUGAGGAUUCGGCCAGCAACUUGGAAGCAGUUACAGUAGAGAAGCGCUGGUGAUUCAGUGAAACGGCGACUGAACUUGGUGCGAGGCCGGCAAGACGACAACGGUGGUCAGCGGCUCGACGCUUAAACAAUCGAGGAAGCGAGUUGAAACAAAUACGACCGUGGCAACGGCAGGCGGUAGGCCGGGCUGAAGAUGAAGGCAAUACGGAAGCAGAGGCAAACUGUGGCGGCGUCCCACAGGCAUGGCCACGGCGGAGGCGACUCAAGGCACAACCAUGGUGAAGGUGAUACGUGACCUGAGAGUGACACCACUGCUGACCGGUAAAGCUCAUAUUUCUGCAAGUAUAUACAUGCACGCAUGCUGAAGCAGUAUCGCUCGUGUAUGUUGGUUCGAGGCGAAGUAGACCACGACGUAGGUGGAAUAAGGCCACGGUGACAGUUUUGACGGCCGCAGGGGCGGAGGUGCCUUGGAAGCAGCCGGCGGUCUGAGUGAGGGCCGCGACUCGGACAGUGGCAGCUGAGGCAAACCGCCCCGAGGAACGGUUGAGGCGGGGGUGUGAUCCAGCAAGGUGAGCAGGGCCUGCUCGCGAGGCACGGCGGCUUAAGGGUAGUGCAAGGGCGGCUCGACGCCCGACGGCGGAGUGACGCUGACGGCGGAGGCGAGCCAGUGUAGAAAUCUUCAACCCUCCACCCUCGGUCACGAGGCAAAUCAAAGCAUCAAGCGGAUCAGUGGCUCGGUCGCGGAGGCAGCGGCCUGCGGCAGACCGGCGAGGCGGCUCAUGCUAUGGCGGAGAGGGCGGCUCGGAGUCGGGACGGUUGAGGCCUGGCACGGCUGCGGAGGCCGGGGCGGUUUAGGCCUCAAAAUUUUUCCCAACUGCGAGGCGGCUUCAGAGAUGACAACUUUGAUCGGAGCAGCAUGUCCAACGACUAAGAGGCGGGGUCAACUCCAAGCCCGACUUGAAGAAGCGCCCGUGGAGGCGGGGCGCGCGGCCGAGCCGCGAUGCGGCGGCUCAAGGCGUGGCGGCGGUUCAGACGCGGCGGAUCAGGCCGGCGUAGUACGAGGUCACGACGGCCAGGCAAACCGAGGAGUCCUCCCGAGCGACAGAGUAGUACUUUCUUCUUUUCUUAGUUCCUUCGAUCUUCACGUGAAUUAAAGGCAGCCGAUUGCUGUUUUACCUCAGGAUUUCAAGCGACCAGUAGUAGAAAACGCGGCGGAUCGGACCAUGACAGCCGCAGCUUUUGGGUCUUGAUCUUGUAUGUAGUAGCCGCGCAAAUCGCAACUUGCAGCCUGUAUGCAGCAACAACGACUCGGCGGAUCGGACAAAAAAGGUUGUACCUUGGACAUGAAUGCUGGAGACGGAACACCUGUCAGUUUCGACUUGGUAAGCGGUGCCGCAGCGGAAACACAAUCCCGAUCUGAUUCGUCGGAACGCCAGACGCGCGCGGUGGCGCACGUAACCCUAGUUUAUGCUCUUUGACUUAAAUCUCGUGUAUUGUAAAAUCUGAA